ACGGAAGGCAGCAGUGGGGAAUAUUGCACAAUGGGCGCAAGCCUGAUGCAGCAACGCCGCGUGAGGGAAGACGGUUUUCGGAUUGUAAACCUCUGUUCUUGGUGACGAAGAAGUGACGGUAGCCAAGGAGAAAGCCACGGCUAACUACGUGCCAGCAGCCGCGGUAAUACGUAGGUGGCAAGCGUUAUCCGGAAUUACUGGGUGUAAAGGGAGCGCAGGCGGGACAGCAAGUCAGCGGUGAAAUGUAUGGGCUCAACCCAUGAACUGCCGUUGAAACUGUUGUUCUUGAGUGGAGUAGAGGUAGGCGGAAUUCCGAGUGUAGCGGUGAAAUGCGUAGAUAUUCGGAGGAACACCAGUGGCGAAGGCGGCCUACUGGGCUCUAACUGACGCUGAGGCUCGAAAGUGUGGGGAGCAAACAGGAUUAGAUACCCUGGUA
rnacentral:rRNA from 1 species